rnacentral:rRNA from 1 species
AGUGGGGAACAACCAGUCGAAAGAUUGGCUAAUACCGCAUACGUCUGUGAAGAGAAAGCGGGGGAUCGUAAGACCUCGCGCUAUUGGAUGAGCCAAAGUCGGAUUAGCUAGUUGGUGAGGUAAUGGCUCACCAAGGCGACAAUCCGUAGCUGGUCUGAGAGGACGACCAGCCACAUCGGAACUGAGACACGGUCCGGACUCCUACGGGAGGCAGCAGUGGGGAAUAUUGGACAAUGGGGGAAACCCUGAUCCAGCGACGCCGCGUGUGUGAAGAAGGCCUGCGGGUUGUAAAGCACUUUUAGUGGGGACAAAAAGUCACGGGUUAAUAACUUGUGAUCUUGAUUUAACUCACAGAAAAAGCACCGGCUAACUCUGUGCCAGCAGCCGCGGUAAUACAGAGGGUGCGAGCGUUAAUCGGAAUUACUGGGCGUAAAGCGCACGUAGACGGUUUGGUAAGUCAGAUGUGAAAUCCCCGGGCUCAACCUGGGAACUGCAUUUGAUACUGCCUGGCUAGAGUAUCGAAGAGGGAAGUGGAAUUUCCGGUGUAGCGGUGAAAUGCGUAGAUAUCGGAAGGAGCACCAGUGGCGAAAGCGACUUCCUGGUCGAAUACUGACGUUCAUGUGCGAAAGCGUGGGGAGCAAACAGGAUUAGAUACCCUGGUAGUCCACGCCAUAAACGAUGACAACUAGAUGUUGGGAGGGUCUGCCUCUCGGUGUCGCAGCUAACGCGUUAAGUUGUCCGCCUGGGGAGUACGGCCGCAAGGUG